AUGAUUUGGGAUUAGGUGAUGUUGACAGAGACCAUUUUGAGUGACAGGUUUAGAGUUUGAAGCUUCGAAGGAAAGAAAGUGGCCAAAUGAUGGAGACAGAUGGGGACCAAAAUCAGGGCUCUACCAAUGGAACCACUCCAUCAGGAGUGAACUCCCGCCCCUCUCCAAUGAACUCCAUGUCCCUGUACGAGAGACAGGCUGUGCAGGCCCUUCAGGCGCUGCAGAGGCAGCCCAACGCAGCGCAGUACUUCCAGCAGCUAAUGCUGCAGCAACAGAUCAACAGUGCCCAGCUACAAAACCUGGCUGCAGUACAACAGGCCACCUUUGCUGCCAGUCGCCAGUCCAGCCCUGCCACCAACAGCACCUCUCAGACCACCAGCACUACAGUCACAUCUGUGAACGUAACCACUUCUGGGGGAGGGGCCAUAACCAGCACCCGCGCUAUAGGCCCAGGCUCUUCCGGGACAUCCACCAUAAGCCAAUCAGUGCUGCUGGGUGGGAGUGCAGCAGGACAGGGACAGAUGUAUCUGAGAGUGAACCGGUCUCUGAGGGCUCCCCUCUCCUCACAACUCAUCUUUAUGCCUGGUAGCACGACAACCGCUGCCAUGGCAACGGUCACCCAGCAGCCACAGACUCAGCAGCAGCAACAACAGGAAGUUACACCUACUUCCUCCAGCAACCAAUCAGACAAUGACCAGGUGCAGAACCUGGCUUUGCGAUGUGUCGGCAGUCCCAAGGGGGUUGGGGUCAAGACUGAAACCCCAGAGAGGGGUGAAAUAGCAACCUACUCCCUUAUACAGUCAUCUCACCAGCAGUUCAACCAGUCCACUCAGCAGUCUCCCACUAAACCAACCCAACUGCAACAGUCCCACAUCAAGAUCCCCACCUACAUCCAGAGCUCCAACGCUAACCUCUCCUCUCUCAACCUCAAGACGGGCAACCACCACUCUAACACCCCCUCCUCACCCUCCACCUCUGUCCCACUCUCACAGCUCCUCCUUUCCGGACCCAACUUUGGCCGGGGCGGGGCUAUCACCACGGUGAACUCGGCCGCCGCGGCGACGCACAUUCUGGUGCCCACCUCCAGUGCACCCACUCAGUCCCACAGUUACCAGAUGGGUGCUGCCACCAUCAAGCCCAAUGUUAGUACUCAAACGCUGGUGGUUCAGCCUCUGCAGAAAAGCACUAUUAACGACAAGGGAGGCCAUGGGAACGGUCCCAUUCCAAUCCAGCCCAAAACUCAACAGGGUCUCCGUAUGCCACUGCAACUGCCCUCCCGCAACCCACCUCCCAUCCUCCCCGCGCCCCCCGCAAACAACCAGACUAGUGCCGCCCAGCCUCCACCGCACAUCCCAGUCCAGAUAGUAGGGGCCAGGCCAAGCUCCAUAGGAAACCCCCAGGCUUUGGCCUUGGUCCAGGCCCGGAACGCCUGUUCCCAGGACGGAGCUACUCUUCUAAAUAGCUCCAACAGCGCCAGCCUCCUCACCAUGGUGGCCUCCAUCGCAUCCAGAGAGAGAGGGGGUUUAGGCAAAGGGGUGGGUCUAAAGAGCCUUCAAUCAGCCCAGGAAGCCCUCUCAUUGGCCCACGUUUCUCACGUGCAAGCACAAGCCAAUCAGAGUCCUAGGCUGAAUCAAAAUCAAAAUUGCACCUUGGCCACCAGCAUCUCCUCUCAGUCCCAGGCCGCCAUCUCUCCUCCCACCCUCUCCCGUUCCUCCCUCACUCUACCCCUGCCGUUGGUUGAGGCGAGCAGUGCAUCCACUGUAGUGGCUGCCAAUGGAGAGUCUGUGUGUCCUCAGCCUCCCCAGGGUAAGUCGAUGAAGAGGAAAUCCGAGUCAGACGCAGCCAAUGAGGAAGAUGGUCCCCCCCCUCCCCACCUUGUUCCUAUGAGUGAACACUCCCCUGCUCUCUCCUCCUCCGCCAUGGAAGCAGGCACUGGUCCACCUUCUCCCUCCCCCGUUCCCUCUCCUUCCCCUGCCCUCUCAGUGUCCCGUGUGGGGGGUGGCCAGGGGGAGAGAGCCCCCCCUCCACAGGCUGUGGUCAAACCCCACGUCCUCACCCACCUCAUAGAGGGCUUCGUCAUCCAGGAGGGAGCUGAACCCUUCCCUGUGAGUGGGCCAGUGAAAGAGCCAGCUGGAGAAGAUUUGGCAAUGGACAAUCCAGACGCCAGUCAGCCUGAGACUGUGAAUACAGCUACAGUGCUGAAGUGUGAGUACUGCAAAAGCUUCGCCCCAGCCAGACAGUUUAGAGGGACCAAGCGCUUCUGCUCCUUGACCUGUUCCAAGAGGUAUAACGUGAGCUGCAGCCAGCACUUCCGCCUGCGACAGGGGCUUCACCUCACCCACUCUGACGAGGACGGAGUCCUGAGGAGGAGGGUUCCCCACAGGACCAGCUCCGAGAUCGCUAGUGCCAAAAUAGCCGGGAGACCCUUACCAGUCAAGUGCCGCUCCGAGUCCAGCCGUUCGGACGACAUCUCCAGUUGCGAGGAGGAAGAGGACGACCCCAUGUCCUUCUCCCCGGCCUCCUCCUCUUCCUGUCAUCAGCCUCCCCCCACACUCCGAUUGGAGGGCUCACCGGCGCCCCACUUCCUGCCCGGCAGCCCUGCCCAGUGGAGUGUGGAGGAAGUGUCUCAGUUCAUAUCAUCUCUGCAAGACUGUGAGGAGCUUGCGGCCCAUUUCCUGUCCCAGGAGAUUGAUGGACAGGCCCUGCUGCUGCUCAGAGAGGAGCAUCUCAUGUCCACCAUGAACAUCAAGCUCGGUCCCGCCCUCAAGAUCUGUGCCCACAUCAACAACCUGAAAGACUGAGGUACUUCUCAAUGUCCAGUGGCUCAGGCACUCGAAGAACUGUCCUAUUGUUGGCACUCUUCUCUCCUGACUGGAGCUUCUGGAUCACCUCAGCCAAUGUAGGGCGCUCGUGUGGAGCGAACUGGCCGCAGGACUUGAUUAUGGAAUACCUGAAAAAAGGUCUCCUUGCCAAUACUUCUGGAGCCUGCCACUUCCUCAUCUCAACGUUCUGCAGCUCUCCUGGAGCUCCUGCUUGUGUUUUCUUACAGUAUGCUGGACCCAAUCCCCACAGUUUAGCCGUUAGGUCUAGACCAACCAGCACGCUCCGAGCUCCAACGUUGCCAUGGAUACAGCUCUGACCGUGCAGACAAAAUGACAGAGAUGGAUGGAUCACUUGAUGUGUGGGAAGGAGAGCGAGAGGGAGAGACCAACCAGAGCAGAAGCCACUUGUCCUCCCAUGGUGAAGAUGCGCUGCUCUGUGAUGUCGCACGGGGACUCCACACCCGUGUCCUGCCAAGAAAGAGCACUGUGAGUUUCCUCUCACACUAUCACUAAGGAUCAUGUCCAUAUUCACUGUAGUCUACAUGAGUUACAGAGUGUUUGCUCAGCCUCUUGAGACCCACAUACAACUAGAAUUUUCAGGCAAACUGACGACAAUUUACGUAAAAGUUGUGCGGGCAGAUCUCUAGUUUGGGCCGUUUCCUAACAUAUCAGGGUAGUGUUCAGUAUACUCCAGUCCGUAGCAAAACAUUGGUGAAACAAUAAUCUCUCUUUGGACAAGUUCAAGCCGGUUACCUCUCCAUUUCACUCUGUUUAAAACAGUGUUCUCCCUACUGAACACCCCCAGCUAUUUGGUAACUUACAGUAGGAAUACCCACAGAGAUAGAUCGAGGACUCAUUGUGGAUUUAAGCCGUUUUAGCAUGGACAUUGCUAUUGAGGGCUUCUAUCGUGCUUCCGCCAUUUUCAAGUAAUAAAUUGGCUGGGGAUUCCUAUGGGUUGCAGCCUCAAUGAUGCUGCCCAUGUCACUGACGCUAUAAUGGCACAGAUAUAACGAUGAGUCCUCUAUCUAACUCUAUGGGAGGACCAUACCUGUCGACACCUCCAUAGGAACCCCAGCAGGUCCCUGUGCACCAGUUCCUCCAUCACGGUGAUGAGGGGGGUACGUAGGGAGACCACGCCCAUCAGACCAGGCAAAAAGGGGUGGGGCCCCAGCUCAGACAGGAAGGAGGCAAAGCCCAGGAAGGACUGCCGCUCGCUGUCAUCGGCUUUUUCUGGGGUGAGAAAGGGUACACGUUGAGAUGAACUACAUUGCUGUCGGACUGCGUAGAAUCACUGAUCUACAAAUAACUAUUCCUUAUACUAUCAAGAUUAGAGAUUCUACACCUUGCCUUGCUUAAACUGAUCUUAAACUGUUGUAUGUUUUUGUCCUUUAUCUGGCAGUAGGCUACUCAUGGGAAAGUUAGUCCGUUUUGUUAUGGGUUGGACUAGGUCUUUUGAUUUGCAUAUCGAGUUAAAGAUCACAAGAUUUCAUAGUAACACAAAGACAAGAGACAACAUCCCCAAGAUUUCAGGUUUUAUACUCUUAUAAGCCUCAAGGUCUUUACAAUGCACUGAGUGUCCGUCUCUGGAUGGGAGCGUCGAUUUGACCAUUCCAAUGAAUAUCAAAGCGUGUUACCUUUAAGUGUCCGUAGAACCACGUCUCUGUUGUCCAUCCUUGCCCUGUAGAGGGUGACAGAGUCGUCCGGUUUGACGGGGAAGGAGAGGGGCAACGGAGUGACCAGGUUGAAAGAGCCAUGCUGUCUCUCUCUGGCCGUCUCCGGUAUGGCAGACCACGUGGCAAGAGCGUCACGCCGGGUCGGGGUGCUCAUAGGUAACUCCUCCUGCUCCAGAGGGUUCAGCUCAGGAGGAGCUGCAGGUAAUGAGAUGGGUAUUGCACAUAUAUCAAAUCAAGUACUACUUAAGUCGUUUUUUUGGGGUAUCUGUACUUUACUAUUUAUGUUUUUUAAACUUUUCUUUUACUUCACCAUUCCUAAAGAAAAUAAGGUACUUUUUACUCCAUACAUUUUCCCCGACACCCAAAAGUAACAGGAAAGGGGUCCAAUUCACACACUCAAAAGAAAAUCCCUACUGCCUCUGAUCUGGUGGACUCACUAAACACACAUGCUUGGUUGUAAAUGAUGUCUGAGUGUUGGAGUGUGCCCCUGGCUAUCCGUAAAUAAAUAACAAACAAGGAAA